rnacentral:lncRNA from 10 species
UUGGCCAUGGUUGGCCAGGCUGGUCUCGAACUCCUGACCUCAGGUGAUCCGAGUGCCUUGGCCUCCUAAAGUGCUGGGAUUACAGUGGCUCACACCUGUAAUCCCAGCACUUUGGGAGGUUGAGGUGGGUGGAUCACCUGAGGUCAGGAGUUCAAGACCAGCCUGGCCAACAUGGUGAAACCCCAUCUCUACUAAAAAUACAAAAAUUACCAGGCAUGGUGGUGCACACCGGUAAUCCCAGCUACUUGGGAGGCUGAGGCAGGAGAAUCCCUUGAACCCAGGAGGUGGAGGUUGCAGUGAGCCAAGAACACGCCAUUGCACUCCAGCCUGGGCAACAGAAGUGGGACUGUCUCAAAAAAAAAAAAAAAUUAUAUAUAUAUAUAUAUAUAUAUAUGUUAUUGGGCUGCCUCUGAAGUAAAGCAUCACAAGGCUCUUUUGCCACCAGUGCAGCACUAAAGUGGUAAAUAGUAGCACAGCUUUUGAUGAAGGAGUUAAGGUAUCAAGAAAGAUUACCUUAUGUUCCAAAGAAAAAUACUUACAAGAAACGAGCCCCCUUAUGAACCAUGCUUCAAACACUGUUUCUUACUAGGAAUUUUGC